AUCAGCAUGGCAUAGUGGUUUGAAUGUUGGACUCUGACUCUGGAGACCGGGGUUUGAUUCCCCACUUGUUCAUG